GAUGAACGCUGGCGGCGUGCCUAAUACAUGCAAGUCGAGCGAACGGACGAGAAGCUUGCUUCUCUGAUGUUAGCGGCGGACGGGUGAGUAACACGUGGAUAACCUACCUAUAAGACUGGGAUAACUUCGGGAAGCCGGAGCUAAUACCGGAUAAUAUUUUGAACCGCAUGGUUCAAAAGUGAAAGACGGUCUUGCUGUCACUUAUAGAUGGAUCCGCGCUGCAUUAGCUAGUUGGUAAGGUAACGGCUUACCAAGGCAACGAUGCAUAGCCGACCUGAGAGGGUGAUCGGCCACACUGGAACUGAGACACGGUCCAGACUCCUACGGGAGGCAGCAGUAGGGAAUCUUCCGCAAUGGGCGAAAGCCUGACGGAGCAACGCCGCGUGAGUGAUGAAGGUCUUCGGAUCGUAAAACUCUGUUAUUAGGGAAGAACAUAUGUGUAAGUAACUGUGCACAUCUUGACGGUAUCUAAUCAGAAAGCCACGGCUAACUACGUG
rnacentral:rRNA from 1 species